GCGACUGGAGUGGUAGAGCGGAGCAGCGCGGUAGAGGCUAGGGGUGGGUGGUGCAUGGAGCUUGGGAAGGGGCGGCUCCGUGGGAGAAGAGAAGAAACAGUUGUUAGCGCUCAGUUGUUUCCUCGCCAUAGAGUUCAAUGGCGGAUGCUGGGGUUACUGGCGGUGGCGAGAUAGAGCCGGAGGAGCUUCAGCGGACGGAGAAGAACGACCGGGGCCUCCUUGGUGUGGAGAGCAGCGGCGCAGCAGCAGCUGAGGACAACACACAAAAUGGCGGCCGCUCUGAUAGUACCGCUGAGGAGGCGCUGCUGGUGGCUGCUACAGAAGAGAAACCCCCCCCAAAUCUCAGCAGUAGCCAGCGGAAGAGCAGUGUCUCCACGGCACGUGAACAGCAGCAGCUACAACAACCUAGCGACGUGUUGGGGGGUCCUCCCCCUCUCCCCAAGACCCCUGAAGAUCUGCCUAUUAGGAGGAAUUUUCAGAUCCCCAGGAAGAGCAGAGAAAAGAAAGCACUCUUUCAGCCAGUAGCUAUGGGCUCUCGAGAAUUUGAAGAUGUUGUGAAAAUUUUGCAUUCAUCUUAUUUGGAGUCAGGUUCGGUGACCAAUUUCAAUUACAAAAGAGCCAGCUUAAUCCAUAGCGAGCUGUUGGAAAAGGAGUUCACAGAAAAACGCAGAGAACUGAAAUGUGAUGGUCGCCUAGAAAAAGAGCUUGUUGAAUCCUAUGCGUUUCUUAUGGUUGAUCGACCUCAGGUGCAAAAUAUAUGUGAAAAGGGACUACAGGCGGGCCAGUCCAAAAUAACAAUUCUUGGCAGUCCUUCCAUGGGUGUAUAUCUCUCCAGAUAUGCUGAUUUAUUACAGGCUAAUCCUCUGGAAGCUGGAGCAAGUGGUGAUGUGAUUAUUUUUAAAAUAAUAAAGGGAAAAAUGAAAAGCAUAUAUGACCACAUGGGUGUGAAAACAAUGGAAUCAACCGUUAAAAGUGCAUUAGAUCCAACACCAAAGCAUGAGUGCCAUGUUUCAAAGAAUGCUAAUAAAGUAAAUUCCUUGUUGGCUUAUAGAGCAUAUGAGCUUACUCAGUACUACUUUUAUGAAUAUGGCUUUGAUGAAAUAAGACGAAGACCAAGACAUGUGUGUCCAUAUGCUGUUGUUUCAUUUGCUUAUAAGGAUGAAAUGGUACAAGUACCAAAGUUUUUGCCCCCAUCAAGGUCAAACAGCUUUAAUACAGACAGGAGCACAGAUAAGACUAAUUACACCUUAUGGAGAGGUCAGCUUUUGAAUAAAGGGAAGCUUUUAUGCCACGCUGCUUUGAAAUCUGCAACGCGUCCUUUCCUUCCAUGUAAACUUCCUGAGAAGCUUAACGUUGAGACUGUUAUGAGCAUUGAUCACCUAAAGAAGAAAAUUGCACCAGCAUUGUUCUAUAAAGAAACUUAUCUAGGGGCAAAAGAAGUGUGUAAGAGUGGAAUGUACUGUAGCCUUUAUGAGGUUGUGGAAAAGACCAGGUCUGGAAGUAACUUGGAAGGCUUACUUCAAAAACUGGAGAAAGAGAAAUUAGUUCUUGUUAAACCACUUGGGGACAGAGGAUAUCUCUUUCUUCUUUCUCCUUGGCAAAUGACUUCCCCAUAUGAGCACCAAACUGGAAGGUCCCGCAUUCUACAGGCAUUGUUUCUAUUUCAGGAACCUAGAGGUAUAGUGACUUCAACACAAAAAAAUGUUCCCUUCACAGCACAGAAAAGUUCAGCUACAUCCGUACUGCAGGAAAACCAUGAGAUUAUGCCAAAGCUCAUGAAGUUUAUUCAGUCACUACACUUCGCUUUAAUUCAGUCUCGUAAAGACACUACUGCAGACUUCAAUACUGUUGUGGAAAAGCAUAUAAACGAAUAUUUGAAGCGAAGCAUUAGUGGGUCUAGCAAAUAUAGGGAGUUUGUAUUAUACCCUUAUGAAUCACGGCUGGAUGACAGAAAAUUUCUGUAUCCUGCUCCAAAAAACAAAUCCCAUAUUGACAGUUGCUUGCGUAAUUACAUCUUUGGUGCUGAAGCCUAUCAACUGCCUGUUUCUAAAGCAAAAGAAUUGAUGGAGGGAAAUCAGAAAGUUCAGCAGUUCAGUCCCAUUUCAGAUUAUGAAGCCCCAGAAGAAGAAACUGACUUCGCAAAUGCAAAAACUGGGAAAAGAAAUGGUUCUAAAUGUGAUGGUGCUGCUGCCAAGCAAAAAACCCCUCAUCCUGGGGACUAUGAUCCUGAUAGACUCAAAGAGCUAAUUAAUUUAAUUCAGUGCAAGAAAAAAAAUGUAGGUGGAGAAUCUGAUACAGAAGACACUAGAAACAAAAGUGGACUGAAACGAAGACUACACAGUCACUCUGAAAAUCUGAGGAAGCACUUAAAAAUGAGUGAAUCUUCAGAAAUUAGUUGCCAGUAUGAAGGAGGAAGAACCUCAGAAUCUCCACAGUCUGUUUUCUCAAUAAUUACUGGUCUUGGUGGACAUGAUACUGACUUGAGACAACAAGAUGUAUCAGACCCUGCAGUUACAGACACACAUGGUCUCAUUAAGUUGCUCUUAGAAACACUAGCUAGUGCAGGACACUUGGAUUCAUCAUUGGCACGGUCUGUUAACCAAGCUUUAGGAUUGGACACUGAUGAAAUGGAGAAUUUAAGGCAAAAACAUGAAUAUGAAUCAAUUCCAGCACAGGAUAAGGAAGAACAUGUGCUUCCUAAUAUUGCACAAACUGAAAAUGUAAACUUUAAGGAUCCACAUAGCCCAGUGAUGUUGGAAACUGAAGCAACAUGCUUAGCCUAUCCUACGGAUGUUGACCUAAGGCUUUCUGCUAGCGAAGUAGGCAUUGACCACACGCUGCGUAUAAAAGAACCAAGUACUGGAAGUGUUAGUAGCUUUGAUGACUAUAGCCCGUGUCCUAGCACUCCUAUUGAACAUGCUUAUCGCAGGCAACAUUCUAGUUCAAAUAAUAUAGGAGAGGUUGGAAUACACUGGAAGCUGAUUCCAAUUACAGGAGGGGCAGGAAGAGAUCCAGAGGAUCAACUGGAAAAACAUGGAGAUAACCAAACAGGUCUGAAAUCACCAGAAGAACAACUGGUGUAUUUACCACCAAAGGAUGCCCUUCCUAAUGACCCCCGGGUAAUAAAUAGACAAAGAAGUUCUGAUUACCAGUUUCCAUACUCUCCAUUUUCAGACAUACAAAAGGGGACAAAAGAAGAUGGAUUGUAUACAAGUCACGUGGAGAAAAAUGAAGAUCAGUGUGCACUAACAGAGCACCCUCUUGCAUCUAAGCACUCCAUAAGUGGAAUAAUAGAGUCUACAUUACUGGAAGAAUACAAUCUCUUUGCAAGAAAGGUUCAGGAGAUUUUGCAGCAGAAGAAUAUUGCAUAUGUGAGUGGAAUGUCCACUCCUGUCUUUUCAGCCCAGGAGAGGGUAAUGAGACUUUCUCAAUACAUACAUUUACAGGCAUCGGAAAUCUCUGUCCAAGAGUAUAUAGAGAGGCUGAGUGAAAAGCUGAAUAAUGUUGCUCUGUCAUCUUCUUGUGGUAGGCAUACUCCACCUCUUAAUUCUAGUCCUGAUCCAGCAGGAGAUGCUGUAACUGAGGCUCAAUUGAAUCCUCUACCAGAACAAGGUGUAUCUGUUUCAAGUGACUUUGACACUGCACUGUUAUCAGAACCACUGUGUAACAGUAUUGUGGAGGAGCCAAACUGUAAUGAGCAGCAUUCAUCAAUGAACUUAACCAUAGUGAAAGAGGAAAUGGACCAUGUUAGUGCCACCACAGAGGUUUUACUGACAUCUGAUAAGAACACUUCCAGUGAUGAUCCACUGGAGCCACCAGAAAAGACUCAGAAAUCACCAGAUAACUUAAACAUUUCAACCCAACCAGCACUCUCUGAUUUUAUAAGCCAGUUAAAACCUGAAGUAUUCAACAGCUUGGUCAAAAUCAUUAAAGAUGUACAGAAAAACACUGUGAAAUUUUACAUUCAUGAAGAGGAGGAAAGUACUCUCUGCAAAGAAAUACAGGAAUACCUUACAAAAUUGGGUAAUACAGAAUGCCACCCAGAACAAUUCUUGAAAAGAAGAGCUACUUUAGACAAACUAUUGAUAAUUAUUCAAAAUGAAGAUAUUGCCAGCCUCAUCCAUAAGAUACCUGGUUUAGUAACUCUGAAGAGGCUUUCAUGUGUCAGCUUUGCUGGUGUUGAUAGCUUGGAUGAUGUGAAAAACCACACUUACAAUGAAUUGUUUGUGUCUGGUGGUUUUGUUGUAUCUGAUGAAUCUGUUCUUAAUCCAGAGUCUGUCACAGUUGAUAAACUUAAAAAUUUCCUGAAGUUCCUUGAGGACCUCAAUACACCUGAUGGGAAAUGGCAGUGGAAAGUCCACUGUAAAAUACAAAAAAAACUCAAGGAGCUUGGGAGAAUGAAUGCUAAAGCCUUGAGUCUGCUGACACUUCUGAAUACCUAUCAGAAGAAACACAUGGUUGAGAUUCUGUCAUAUCAUAACUGUGACUCUCAAACACGAAAUGCUCCAGAAUUGGACUGUCUUAUCAGACUUCAGGCUCAGAAUAUACAACAAAGACAUGUUGUCUUCUUAACAGAAAAGAAUGUCAAAACAUUUUCAAAUUAUGCUGAUAAUGGAAUAGUAGUUGCUACAGUUGAUGACUUUAUGCAAAACUUCAAAAACCUCGUUGGCUACCACAAUUCAAUUACGGAAGAAAACAACCUUCCUUCACCUGGUGUUCCUGAAAGACAAUCAGAUGCUGUUUUGACAUUAACCCCUUUGGAGCUGGGAGUUGGGAUUUCCCAACACUAAACAUGACCACAAUGCGCAGAAGCUUUUAGCAUCGGAAUAUCUGGACAUUCACACAAAGGGUUAAGUGUGUGUGUUGAGUAAGUGAACAAGAGUGGCAGAAGACCAAGCCUUAAGUGAUAUUGGAUUUACAGACCCGAAGCAUAACACUCUAUAUGGGACAGCCGGCUAUACACACACGGGUGUGGAUCUGUGGGCACAGUAUUGUUUUGGGUGCAUAGGCACGCAUCCAGGUUGCCCGAGGGCUCCCAGCUGGGAUUCGGUGGUGAAGCAUUACUCAGUUGGCACGCACGGAGGGGCAUGUUAUGGGAUCAACUGAUACCGCUGUUGUAUGCUGUGUGGGCACAUCAGCAGCCACUGGAUAUAUUGGUGAUACACCUGGGAGAAAAUGAUCUGGAAACACUUAAAGGGGUGGAGUUAAUGCUUCGAACAAGGAGGGACCUGGUGCAGAUCCUGGAAAUUUUUCUAGGCGUUAACGUUAUCUGGUCGAAUAUGCUUCAGCAAAGGGUCUGGCCGGGAGCCAUGAACCCUGCCAGGGUGGACAAAACCAGGAAGUAUGUGAACAGGGAAGUGGCCAAAUUCUUACUGCUCUUGAGGGGGACAGUAAUUUCACAUCCUGGCAUACUCUGUGGGGCACCCGAGUUAUUUUGGGAGGAUGGGGUGCACCUGUCAGGCUCAGGUGUUGACAUAUUUUUGGCUGAUAUAAAAGAGGGCAUUGGGACAUGUUUGGGAACCUAGCUGAAUGUGGGGAGGAGGCAGCCAAACUAAUGGCUGGUGCCUCCUUGUGGUGGAUGUUCAGUGCAGGUACUCCAUAAAUUAAGGCACAAAAGAAUAGAUAAAUGGCUUGGAAAAGGAAUUAAGGAGAGGGGCUUGGUAAUUGAGCAAGCUGGGGGCAAUUAGGGACUCCUCUGAUUGGUAUGGCAAGCAGCCAACACUGUCCCCCCAUCAUUAUAGUCCACCUUAACCACUCCUACAGGGGGUGGUGGUUAGUAAGGUCCUGGCAAGGGAAUUGCUGGAGAGACCUGGAGGAAAAGGGGGUGGAGCUGGUGGAAGCCCCUCCAGAAUUGGCGGUUCCUGGCAGUGAAUCUGCUGGAGGGACAUGAAUGGUAAAAGCACUUCCCCCUGCCCAAUUAUGGGGGCUUCACCUGCACUGCACAUUUUAUCUGCUGGGUUAGUCCUAAACACCUAAUAAAGUUGCAGCCUGAUUAAACCCAUA